GGGAGGGUCUGCGUUGCUGCGACGUCCAGCGGAAAAACCGCUGAACGGGACGCGGAGCCACAGCCGCAGCUCCGGCAGCGGGGACAUGACUCGGCCCGGGGCGGGACGCGGGGCAGAGCGCGACAUGUCACCGCGUCGGGCGUAAAGCGGCGACACCGCGAGCAUGGAGACGCCGCCGCCGCCGCAUCCCGAGAGGGGCAGCGCGGCCAGGAAGGUCGGGAGGAGCGGCUCGGCCUCCCUCGGGCGCCCGCUGGAAGGAGUUCUGAGCAAAUACACCAACCUCCUGCAGGGCUGGCAGAACAGCGAGAACCCAGUAAACUGAACACAACAGGUCGUCUAGAGAACAUGCUGGACCAGACAUGCAGAACUGGAGCGGAACAUUAUCUGGUGAUGUGGUCUUGCUCCUCUGAUUAGAUGUUUAGAUGAACUUUGAAUGUGGGUGGACAGCCUCUGAUAUGCUCAUGUUUUUUUAUAUUUAAAGCAGCUGCUCUGAACAUCAGACUGGAGGACUAAUGCUGCCAUGUUCAAGAAUGUACAUUUUAACUCUGAAUUAUGUGGAUCCGUUGAAUUGUGUAGAAAAUGAGGUAUGGAUUGGGUGUGCAAGGCUCAUGUGGUGGGAGGAGUCCAGGUUGAUGGGAGGAGCCCGAGUGAACUGCAUAGAGUAGUUCUGGAGGUUGUGCGGAAUGGGUGGGCGGGGCUCAGGUGGUAGGAGUCCAGGUUAGUGGGAGGAGUUUUAGUGAGUUGAUACAGAACAGUAGUUCUAUGGGAUUGUAUGGAUUGGGUGGGCGGGGCUCAGGUGGUAGGAGGAGUCCAGGUUAAUGAGUGAGAGUGAGUUGGUGCAGACUUGUAGGCCAGUAUCAGAUGAUGCAUUAAUAGAAGGUUCUGUUUUUUUUCUAAUUGUAGUGCGUGUUUCUUAUUAUUUGCAUGCUGCAUUUGUGUGUGUGUUUGAUAUUGGUCUCUUGUAGGACAUCCAUCUGUGUCCUCUUUUGUCUCAUGUGAAUUCCCGUCACCUGUACCAGGCCUGUUUGAAAGGCCAGCAGCAGGGCGCCAGUAUCUGGAAGCAGAAAUGUGUUCUGGUUGGGUGAACUGGAGCUCUGCCAUGGCUGCAGGAGGCAGUUAGGCAAGGAAUCCUGUCCUCUUUCCGAGAUGUCACCAGAAUCAAAUAAAAAAAAUUCACUCAGACA
rnacentral:lncRNA from 1 species